UGCAGGGUAUAGACCCGAAACCCGGUGAUCUAGCCAUGGGCAGGUUGAAGGUUGGGUAACACUAACUGGAGGACCGAACCGACUAAUGUUGAAAAAUUAGCGGAUGACCUGUGGCUGGGGGUGAAAGGCCAAUCAAACCGGGAGAUAGCUGGUUCUCCCCGAAAGCUAUUUAGGUAGCGCCUCGUGAAUUCAUCUCCGGGGGUAGAGCACUGUUUCGGCUAGGGGGCCAUCCCGGCUUACCAACCCGAUGCAAACUGCGAAUACCGGAGAAUGUUAUCACGGGAGACACACGGCGGGUGCUAACGUCCGUCGUGAAGAGGGAAACAACCCAGACCGCCAGCUAAGGUCCCAAAGUCAUGGUUAAGUGGGAAACGAUGUGGGAAGGCCCAGACAGCCAGGAUGUUGGCUUAGAAGCAGCCAUCAUUUAAAGAAAGCGUAAUAGCUCACUGGUCGAGUCGGCCUGCGCGGAAGAUGUAACGGGGCUAAACCAUGCACCGAAGCUGCGGCAGCGACGCUGAUGCGUUGUUGGGUAGGGGAGCGUUCUGUAAGCCUGUGAAGGUGGCCUGUGAGGGUUGCUGGAGGUAUCAGAAGUGCGAAUGCUGACAUAAGUAACGAUAAAGCGGGUGAAAAGCCCGCUCGCCGGAAGACCAAGGGUUCCUGUCCAACGUUAAUCGGGGCAGGGUGAGUCGACCCCUAAGGCGAGGCCGAAAGGCGUAGUCGAUGGGAAACGGGUUAAUAUUCCCGUACUUGGUGUUACUGCGAAGGGGGGACGGAGAAGGCUAUGUUGGCCGGGCGACGGUUGUCCCGGUUUAAGCGUGUAGGUGUGUGUUCCAGGUAAAUCCGGUUCACUUUAACACUGAGGCGUGAUGACGAGGCACUACGGUGCUGAAGCAACAAAUGCCCUGCUUCCAGGAAAAGCCUCUAAGCAUCAGGUAACAUCAAAUCGUACCCCAAACCGACACAGGUGGUCAGGUAGAGAAUACCAAGGCGCUUGAGAGAACUCGGGUGAAGGAACUAGGCAAAAUGGUGCCGUAACU
rnacentral:rRNA from 1 species